AUGACAAGGACAAAUCACUAGCGAACACAGACCUGAUUUCUCAUGUGCUGCCUACGCCUCCAUCCCGGGCCCCAUCGAUAUGGAUCGGUUGCACCUGCGAUUUGGAGAGUUAGCGGAGUAGGCACUGCCUUCGAGUCGAGACAACGAUUUGACGGGGACAAUGAUGGAUGAGGACGAAACGGAAAGGGUGGCAACGGCGCGCCGGAGAGCCCGGAGGGAUGAAUCACCCAGAGCAUAUCCGCUCCGGACUACUCGAUAUAUGCUCAGUGAUGCCAAGUCCAGUGUCGCAACGCUAGGCUAAAUAAAUAAGAAGCUAGUGCUGUUUCCCUGAAAGAAAAGAAAAAAAAAAAGCUAGUGCUGUCCGCUUUCUUUUCGGAGGGGAGAUAGAUCGGAUAACAUAAAGAAACGCACCUGCUGUGGUGUAAAGGGGGGG
rnacentral:lncRNA from 1 species